ACGCUGGCGGCGUGCCUAAUACAUGCAAGUAGAACGCUGAAGGAGGAGCUUGCUUCUCUGGAUGAGUUGCGAACGGGUGAGUAACGCGUAGGUAACCUGCCUGGUAGCGGGGGAUAACUAUUGGAAACGAUAGCUAAUACCGCAUAACAGUAGAUGUUGCAUGACAUUUGCUUAAAAGGUGCAAUUGCAUCACUACCAGAUGGACCUGCGUUGUAUUAGCUAGUUGGUGGGGUAACGGCUCACCAAGGCGACGAUACAUAGCCGACCUGAGAGGGUGAUCGGCCACACUGGGACUGAGACACGGCCCAGACUCCUACGGGAGGCAGCAGUAGGGAAUCUUCGGCAAUGGACGGAAGUCUGACCGAGCAACGCCGCGUGAGUGAAGAAGGUUUUCGGAUCGUAAAGCUCUGUUGUAAGAGAAGAACAGGUGUGAGAGUGGAAAGUUCACACUGUGACGGUAUCUUACCAGAAAGGGACGGCUAACUACGUGCCAGCAGCCGCGGUAAUACGUAGGUCCCGAGCGUUGUCCGGAUUUAUUGGGCGUAAAGCGAGCGCAGGCGGUUAGAUAAGUCUGAAGUUAAAGGCUGUGGCUUAACCAUAGUACGCUUUGGAAACUGUUUAACUUGAGUGCAAGAGGGGAGAGUGGAAUUCCAUGUGUAGCGGUGAAAUGCGUAGAUAUAUGGAGGAACACCGGUGGCGAAAGCGGCUCUCUGGCUUGUAACUGACGCUGAGGCUCGAAAGCGUGGGGAGCAAACAGGAUUAGAUACCCCUGGUAGUCCACGCCGUAAACGAUGAGUGCUAGGUGUUAGACCCUUUCCGGGGUUUAGUGCCGCAGCUAACGCAUUAAGCACUCCGCCUGGGGAGUACGACCGCAAGGUUGAAACUCAAAGG
rnacentral:rRNA from 1 species